AAUGGAACAAAAAUUGUUGCUCUCCGUGGGACACUCUAUAUAUAUAUAUAUAUAUAUAUAAACAUACACGAUAGUGAAAACGCUAACUAAGCCCUAAAAAAUUAGAUAGCGUAUACCAUUUUUAUUUCAAUUGCUUACAGUUUGGUCACGUACGAGUAAAUAAUAGGUAUAUUACUGUGGGACCGGAAUUUCGCUUGAUACCUAUAAAUACUACUGUCAAUUUUAGUAAAAACAAAAAAAAAAACAUGUUGAGAGGAUAGGAUACAUAGAGUAGUUUAAUUUAUAUCUGUGCUGAACAAUAAAUCUUUGCAAACAAAAUACGAUUUGGUUUUUUUUUUGUCUUUGUAUUUUGGAUUUAAACUUAAUCGUACUAUUAGGUAAAUUAGGCAUUCAUGUUAACUGUGUUAUCUUGAUUUUUAAUUUCUUCAAAAUUUACAUUUUCUAUUCGGGGACAUGGACGUUUAUUAAGAGUUUAUCAUAUUGAAAACCGUUUAUACAGUAGCGAUAACAUUUAUCAUUUUUACUUUUUUUUUAGAUUUUUGAGGGGUCAAUUUGGAAACAAGGCGAUAAUCUAGCGUGUGGACAGAAUUCCGAUCGAAUUUUACAAUCGAAAAAACGGUAUUUUGUUAUUAUAAUAGGUACUCGUACAUGGUCACCAUUCUCGAAUACGACGACGAAAGUUGAAACAAAAAUAUUGUUGCGUUACGGUUGACUAGCGAAAUCUAGCGUAAAACGAUCAAAAGACAAACACGACUAAGUGUUUUCAGGUCUAGACGAUAUUCGGAUGUAAAACAAAAAAAACCUCGAUACUCGGAAAAUAAUGAGAAAGCUUGCUUGAUUUUAAGCGAUUUAUUUCGAGUGAAAAGUUAUGUUACUUUUUCUUGGUUCGUACACAUUUUUUU